GAGCCGCCUCCGCCAACGACUUUUUCCGGCAGGCCCGGGGGAACCACUUCUCCGGCCGUGACGCUCCGGCGGACGCGGCCUCGGGGUGAAGCCCGCAGCACGCGGGCCGGGCGUCUCCCGCCCGAACCCGACAGCUAACCUCGUCGGCUCUGCAGGAGAAUUCA
rnacentral:sRNA from 1 species